rnacentral:lncRNA from 1 species
GUUCGAUAAGAUUGAAAUAAAGUGAACCUUAGAAAGAUCGACUGAAAGGAGAAUUUGGCCGACCCAUUGACUAGAGCAAUCAGAUCUAAUGAGUUCGAUGAUCUAAAAUGGAAGAUGGAUAUUUGAUACCGAUCGAUUGGCUUUAGUCCAAGUGGGAGUUAUUGAAAAAUAUGUCCUAAAGUCAAUCAUCUAGAUUGUAGAUGAUUAUUCUCCAUACAAGUAUAUGAAUUAUAAAAUGAUAAAUAUUAUCUGACAGAUUCAUCAUAAAGAAUACAUCUUCCAAAAUAGAACUCAUAUGUUAUGAUGAAGUCUUUAGAACUACUACUAAAAUGAUAAAGGAGGAUUUAUCAUGUGGUUCUUAAAUUCUGCUCGCGACCAAAUGAUACAAUUAUUUCAAGGAUGAUAAUUGUAUCGAGUAUAGGUCAUUGUAUGCCAUAUUGAUUGGUUGUCCUCUUAACUAAGGUGUGUGGUGACACGGAUAUGGUAUAUGGGUGAUUUGUAGGAGUACAUUUCAUCAAGCAUGACCACUUUCAGAGUACUCUACUAUCAAGGAAUGCUCUGGUGGGAUAUGGGUAUAAGUGUCUCUUGGACCUGAAGCUACCUUGAUGACUUGCAAAUAACUCACUGUGCUUUGGUGCCAGACUAUCCAAAUUUCUAAUUUAGUGAUGAAAGAUUUUUGUGUACAGUCAAGUACUUAUGAAGUCUGAGUGCAAGUCAAGAUGGGAUUGACUGCUCCAAGUAACAUUGGAGAUGAUGCAUCACUGUGUUUUAAUUUAGUAAAACUCUAAUCAAAGUAGUCCUAGUGAGAAGUCACAGGAUUUUUAAGGUUGAGACACAAUGUGGACCAUUUUUCUUAGGUGGACAGUUUAACCCUUAGUCAUUCUUGAGCAUCAAGUGUCAAAGGAAUGAAUUAUACGGUAACUAUAUUCACAUGGAUUUUAGAGUAUUGCUGGACAUACAUUUGGCCUAUCCAGAUGUCAGAUUUCAUUGCUAGAUGGUUACAUCAAUUAGUACAAAAAUUAUUCUUAUGCUACCAGCUUAGGUUCAAACCUAUGAGAUCACACACAUAGAAGUACCUAUCUGAUCAAAUGGCUAAUUGAUGAUUAUGAAUCAUUGAAGGAUUUAAUUAUCAAUUUGAUUGAUGAUUAAUCCUAUACAAAGAUUGUAAUAAAUAAUUUACUAAUAGUUGAUAAAUUAGAAGAAUAAUUAAUUAAUAAUAUAAUUAUUAAUUAACUCAAUUUGAUUGAGCAAUGGAGAUUGGAUUAGAUCUAAUUGAAUUGGAUUCAAUUAGACUGUCUUUGGAUUGAUUGGAUGCAUCCCUAUUAGAUAACAGGGCUUGUUUCAAUUGAUCUCAGAGAUGCAAAUUAAAUUCUAAAUUGAAUAUGAUUCAAUUAGUUUUAUAUAGACUUGGAUUGGAUCUAAUCCUAUUAGAUAAUAGGCUUGAUUGGAUCAAGUCCUAUUAUCAAAUGACUUUCCUAAUAUCCAUUAAGAAUCAAUCUCUGGAUCAAUGAGAUUUUCAUCUAACUAAUUUUUAAUUGGAUUGGGGCCUAAUUGAUUUUAUAAUUGGGCUAGGAUCCAAUUAGUUAGUUUGUUAUAACUACUUCCUAAAUUGGUUAGGAUUGGAUCUAAGAAUUAGUUAGAGUUUGAUCAAGAUUCAUGAGUCCUAUUUGGAAUAGAACUAAACCAACUAAACCCCAUCUAUUUAAGUGAUCCUCCAUGCCUCCACUCCCUUUCACCGAGAGAUCUCAUGCCCAAAGAAAGGUCCCACAUUCUCCCUCUCUUUCAUGAGAAAAAGUGGGCAUCCCCCCUUCUUCUUAUCGUAAAAAAGAAAGGAGGGGCGUCCAAGAGUUGGACGCCCCAUAUCCCAUACAUCUAGGCUUCCUUCCAAGCCCUUUUGAAGANNNN